rnacentral:rRNA from 1 species
GGCUUAGAAGCAGCCACUCAUUAAAAGAGUGCGUAAUAGCUCACUGGUCGAGUGAUCCCGCGCCGAAAAUUUAACGGGGCUAAACUAUAAACCGAAGCUUGGGAUACCGCAAGGUAUGGUAGGAGAGCGUCAUGUAAGGGGUGAAGUCAUAGCGAAAGCGGUGGUGGACUUUACAUGAGUGAGAAUGCCGGAAUGAGUAGCGAGAAUUAAGUGAGAAUCUUAAUGGCCGAAAGUCUAAGGUUUUUGGAGGAAGGUUCGUCCGCUCCAAGUAAGUCGGGAGCUAAGGCGAGGCCGAAAGGCGUAGUCGAUGCACAUACGGUUGAUAUUCCGUAACCACUGACAACUUAAACAAAAUGACACUUUAGAAGGGCUUGACCCGGGUGCUGGUAAUCCCGGGCGUAAGGGACCGAAAUUUAGUAGGGAAGCAAGCUUGGAUGGAGGCGAGAAAAGUUUUGUGUAUGUAAUGUUGGUGCCCGUACCGCAAACCGACACAGGUGGACAGGAAGAGAAUUCUAAGGCCAGCGGGAGAAGGGUAGUUAAGGAACUCGGCAAAUUGACUCCGUAACUUCGGGAAAAGGAGUGCUCUCGAGAGAGAGCCGCAGUGAAUAGGCCCAGGCGACUGUUUAGCAAAAACACAGGUCUCUGCCAAAUCGAAAGAUGAAGUAUAGGGGCUGACACCUGCCCGGUGCUGGAAGGUUAAGAGGAGGAGUGAGAGCUCCGAAUUGAAGCCCCAGUAAACGGCGGCCGUAACUAUAACGGUCCUAAGGUAGCGAAAUUCCUUGUCGGGUAAGUUCCGACCCGCACGAAUGGUGUAACGAUCUGGGCACUGUCUCAACUACCCGCCCGGCGAAAUUGUAGUACCGGUGAAGAUGCCGGUUACCUGCGACAAGACGGAAAGACCCCAUGGAGCUUUACUGUAGCUUGAUAUUGGGUUUCGGUAAUUUAUGUACAGGAUAUGUGGGAGACUGGGAAGUUAUGGCGCCAGCCAUAAUGGAGUCGAUGUUGGGAUACCACACUUAGAUUGCUGGAAUUCUAACCUGUGGCCAUGAAACUGGUCAGGGGACAUUGUCAGGUGGGCAGUUUGACUGGGGCGGUCGCCUCCGAAAGAGUAACGGAGGCGCUCAAAGGUUGGCUCAGCACGGACGGAAACCGUGCAUUAGAGUGUAAACGCGUAAGCCAGCCUAACUGCGAGGGUGACGGCCCGAGCAGUAACGAAAGUUGGAGUUAGUGAUCCGGCGGUAUGUGAAUGGAAAUGCCGUCGCUCAACGGAUAAAAGCUACCCUGGGGAUAACAGGCUGAUCUCCCCCAAGAGUCCACAUCGACGGGGAGGUUUGGCACCUCGAUGUCGGCUCAUCACAUCCUGGGGCUGUAUUCGGUCCCAAGGGUUCGGCUGUUCGCCGAUUAAAGUGGUACGCGAGCUGGGUUCAGAACGUCGCGAGACAGUUCGGUCCCUAUCUGUCGUGGGCGCAGGAUAUUUGAGGAGCUCUGUCCUUAGUACGAGAGGACCGGGAUGGACGUACCUCUGGUGCACCAGUUGUCACGCCAGUGGCACAGCUGGGCAGCUAUGUACGGAACGGAUAAACGCUGAAAGCAUCUAAGCGUGAAGCCGACUCCAAGAUUAGAUAUCCCAUCAGAAUAUGAGUAAGACCCCUUGUAGACUACGAGGUUGAUAGGCUGCGUGUGUAAGCAUGGUGACAUGUUCAGCUUGGCAGUACUAAUAGGUCGAGGGCUUGACCAC